ensembl:lncRNA
GAAAACCCGAGGAGACCGGCGGAAGGGGUGAGAAUAGAAAGAGGAGGAAUGAAAUUCACAAAGAGAUGUCAGGGUGGAAGGUGAGUAGGGAGAGGACGAAGAGUUUUAAUAUAGAAGAGAGAAAAAGGGAGGUGGAGGAAUGCAGGGGUGGAACGGCUGAGCUCGACGUAUGGAGGGGGCAGAGAUCGACUGGAGCCAGACUGGGUGUAUGCAUCUGAGAGAGUCACUGUGGCAGGAUUCAAUAAAAAGAGAGAGGGCAAGACUUCAUACACUAAACAGAUGUAAACACGCUAUCUCAGCCACCCACAUCUAAAUCUUACGGGGGUGUGGUUUGAUAGAUUCACAGAGAAUUUAAACUGGCUGCUGUCCAAACUAAACAGACUGGAGACACGGCACUACUACCUGACAGCCAAGGUGGUGAUAUUCAGUGCCAGAGGAGGUUGCCCUGGAUACAGACAAAAUAAUCUCUGCAUGCUUGCCUGCAAAGCACUAUGGGACA